rnacentral:rRNA from 1 species
AGAGUUUGAUCAUGGCUCAGAAUCAACGCUGGCGGCGUGCCUAACACAUGCAAGUCGAACGCGAAAGCCCCGCAAGGGGUAAGUAGAGUGGCAAACGGGUGAGUAACACGUGGGUGACCUGCCUUCGAGUGGGGGAUAACGUCCCGAAAGGGACGCUAAUACCGCAUGACAUCCUGCCUUUGGAGAGGCGGAAAUCAAAGCCGGGGAUCGUAAGACCUCGCGUUAUUGGAGCGGCCGAUGCCGGAUUAGCUAGUUGGUGAGGUAAGAGCUCACCAAGGCGACGAUCCGUAGCUGGUCUGAGAGGACGACCAGCCACACUGGGACUGAGACACGGCCCAGACUCCUACGGGAGGCAGCAGUGGGGAAUUUUGGACAAUGGGCGCAAGCCUGAUCCAGCCAUGCCGCGUGAGUGAAGAAGGCCUUCGGGUUGUAAAGCUCUUUCGCAAGGAAAGAAAACUUAUCUACUAAUACUAGGUGAGGUUGACGGUACCUUGAUAAGA